AAAAUAAUAUCUUUAAAUUAUGAAUAAUAUAAUAAAGAAAAAUCUUAAAUGAAAAAUUCUUUUUACAAUUACAUGAUUGUUUUUUAGUAUAGAUUUGGUUAGAGGUUAGGUGAUUGGCGUAAGGAAGGAUGGGUGAGGAUAGAGGCUUAUGGUGUGUGGGGGAGGUAGUUAUUUUUUUUUUUUUUGAUAAAAUUGAAAGGGUACCAGAACAAUUUCAACCAAUUCAAGAAGAGGAGGAGUUUGAGGAAGAAAUUAAGGAUGAAUGUAAUAGUUUUCGACCCGACGAUCCAUAUGGGAAGAAGCCCAUGGAAGCAACGGUAACCCUCCCUCGAAAGCCACAAAUCUCUGAUGUGAGGGCAUCCACGAGCUCCAAAAUUGAUGAACCAGUACAAAUUGAGCAGAAUCUAGGGGAUUCUCCACGAGAAUGAGCCACUAACAAAGGACACGCACUGGUAUACAAGAUCCCAAAUCAGCGUGAUAGGAAGAUGGUGGUCAAGCUCACACAGGAGGACAUUAAGACUAGUGACGAAUAUUUAUCCACAAUGCUUAUAGGGUAUGUGUUGGGUGAUGCUCCAUAUGAGAAUUCGAUGGAUAAUUUUGUUGUAACCGUCUGGAAUUUUGUGAGGAAACCCCAGAUAUUCUAUCAUGCUGAAGGGUAUUAUGGAUACCGAUUUGUAUCAAUAGAGGUGCUACAAACAGGACCUUAUUCCUAUCAUAACAAGCCCUUCCUUCUGACACCAUGGGUAGAGGAGUUUGUGUUUGAUAAGAAAGCAAUUACAAAAGUUCCAUUAUGGGCUAAUCUCCUAGGAUUACCAGUGGGAUAUUGGUCAAUUGAGGCAUUGGGCAAAGUAGCAAGUGCAAUAGGUAAACCCCUGUAUACUGAUAAAUAUACAGCAGACAUGAAUCGCAUUUCGUAUGCAAGAGUGUUGGUGGAAGUAGAUAUAUCCCAACCCCUAGUUGAGAAUAUAGAAAUUGAAGCUCCGUGUGGAAUAAUUCAAUAAGGGGUAGAGUAUGAUUGGAGGCUUAGAUUCUGCAAUGAAUGUAUUUGAUAUGGACACAACAUUGUGGACUACAGGUUAAAUAUAUAUCCAAGAAAGGAAGAAGAACAACCACUUUAAGAAAACGAGGAGUUCAAAGAGCCACCAAAAUGAAGAAGAAGGGUCAGAAGACGUAAGAAAAUAGUACCAACAUAGCUAGCUAAAGCAGAUGAGAGGCUCCCUCAAGCUAUACUAGCUAAUCAAGAAGGUCCAAGCAAGGAGGAUGCUACUCCCACGAGUAAGCAAGCUGAAACAGAACCAGUUUUAAGUCAAAGUAACUGAUAUGCACCACUAGCUAGAACAACUGAGGCAAAUGGUAACACUUCAAGGCCAGCAACUAAUACCACCCAUCAGCCCCAUGAUUAUGUGUACAUGGAAUGUAAGGGGGCUAAAUAAACCCUUUUAAGCAGAAAGAGGUAUUACUUUCUGAAAAAAGAAUAAAAUUGAUCUCUUUGGUUGCUUAGAGACUAGAAUAAAGGAAGAAAAGGCUAAACCAAUCCUGUUUAAAUUUGUAAAAGAAUGGAACCAUUGCUAUAACUAUCCUUAUGGUACGAAUGGGUGUAUAUGGAUGCUAUGGAAGAAAACAUAAAUGUGCAAGUUUUACACAUACAUGAGCAGUACAUUCACUGUGAGGUAGCAACCAGUAACUUCAGAGCUAAAGUCACAGUGGUGUAUGCUAGGAAAGAGGUGAAUAUAAGAUCAAUUCUAUGGAAGGAACUACAGUAAAUAGGUACAGGAUGUCAAGAACCAUGGUUGUUGAGUGGAGAUUUUAAUAAUGUGCUAAUAAAUGAUGACAGAGUGGGACAACCAGUUAUAGAGUCAGAAGUGCAAGGGUUCAAAGAUAUGAUUGACAAUUUACAGCUUACUCCUAUUAGAUCAAAAGGCAGUUAUUACACAUGGUGCAAUAAGCAGCAGGGAGCCAAUACGGUGUACAACAAAAUAGAUUAGGUACUUGGGAACCUUGAAUGGCUGCAAUAAUUUGGUCAGGCUGAGGUCAAGUACAUAGUGCUAGCUGUAUCUGAUCACUCCCCAGCUAUGAUUCAGUGUCUGCAGAGGACCAGUUUGCACCCAAAACCAUUAAGAUUAUAUACCACUGUCAUGGAACAUCCCCAGUUCCAUGAAAUAGUGCAACAAGUUUGAAAGGUACCUGAGAUAGGUGAUGCGAUGAUAGUUGUAUGGAAUAAGCUGAAAAGGAUAAAAAUAACACUAAAAGAUCUGUAUAAUUACACGGCAACGUAUUCUCACAAAUUGACUCAAUCAAGGCAGCAACUAGAGAUAGUGCAAGCACAUAUAACCACACGACUAUUUGAUCAAUCCCUGUUUGAGCAAGAAAAAACUCUCUUAGCUGAAAUCCAAAAGUGGAGCUUAGUGGAGGAGAAGGUAUUGAGACAAAAUCUAGAGCAUGUUGGAUUGAUUAUGGGGAUGCAAAUACAAUGUACUUUCAUGCUCAGUUGAAAAACAAACUACAACACUAUAUCCUCUAUCUACACUGAAGAUGGGGUGAAAGUAAAUGAUCCACUGGAGGUAGAGAAUGAAUUUAUCUCUUUCUUUAAAUCACUUAUGGGAAAGAAAGAAGAUGAGUUACCUUAUCUUGACUCAAUGUUAAUACAUAGUGGACCCAGAUUAGACAGAGACCAGCAGUUGAUAUUAAUUAGAAAAGUAACAUCAGAGGAAAUAGAGAAAGCUGUCAAAGGUAUGCCAAAUGAUAAAAGCCCUGGGGUAGAUGGAUUUCCCAUAGAACUCUUUAAAUCCAAAUGGAAGCAGGUCAAAACAAAGGUACGUGAAGCUGUACAAUAGUUCUUCCUAACAGACAAGAUGAUGAAGGCUUGGAAUUGCACAACACCCACCUUAAUACCUAAAGUACCUUCACCUACUAAAGUGAAGGACUUUAGGCAUAUCGCUUGAUGCUCUACCAUGUAUAAGGUGAUUUCAAAGAUCCUCACAAAUAGAAUAAAAAGAGUUUUAAAAAGUAUUAUUGGGUGCUCACAGUCUGCAUUCAUAGAAGGAAGGAAUAUUUCAGAUAAUAUACUCUUGAGCCAUGAGCUAUUCAAAAGAUAUACAAGGAAAUGGAUCUCCCCUAGAUGUGUACUAAAGGUGGAUAUUAGAAAGGCUUAUGAAACCCUUGAAUGGAGUUUUUUGCAAGCUAUGAUGAAUGAAUUGGGUUCCCAUAAAAAUUUAUCUAAUGGGUAAUGGAAUAUGUGUCCACAGUGUUCUAUUCUUUAAUGCUUAAUAGAGGUCUCACAAAGUCUUUUAAGGCUAAUAGAGGGUUGAGGCGGGGUGAUCCCAUGUCACCAUUCCUAUUUGUUAUAGCAAUGGAAUAUCUGCACAGAGAGAUGAUGCAACUGACACUAAACAAAUAAUUCCACUUCCACCCAAGAUGCAAAAGAUUUGGUUUUAUUCAUUUAUGUUUUACUGAUGAUCUCUUAAUGUUUUGCAGGGCUGAUCUGUCAUCUGUAUCCAUGUUACAAGAGUCCUUUCAUAAAUUUUCAUGUUCCUCAAGUUUGGAAGCUAAUCAGGAGAAGAGUUCCAUUUACAUGGUCGAGACCACACCAUACAUGAAAGAAGACAUACUGCAAUUGCUGAGUUAUGUGGAAGGAAGGCUGCCUUUCAAGUACUUGGGGGUUCGCCUAUCCACAAAGAAGUUGACUGUAUCUCAAUGCUUACCUCUGGUAGAGAAGUUCACAACUAGGAUUACAUGUUGGUCAGCAAAGUUAUUAUCUUACUCAGGCCAUAGUGAAUUAUCAAAGAAAGCACUGGUCGCGUGGGAAAGACUUUGAUACCCAGAAUCAGCAGGUGGGCUAAACAUUAUUAAUCUUAAGUUGUGGAAUAAGACAGCCAUCCUAAAGCACUUAUGGGCUAUCUCGAUGAAAAAAGAUACACUAUGGAUUAGAUAGGUACAUUACUACUACAUAAAGAAUAUCAAACUCGAGGACCUGGCAAGUCCUAAGAACGCAGCUUGGGUGAUGCAGAAGAUCAUAGAUCGUGGUAAAUUCAUCAUGUUACAGCAAUGCUACCAGGGGAGUAUAGAUCAAACCUUGAGAAGUCUGAUACAAGGUAACAAAUUCAAGAUUAAGAAAGCUUAUCUAACACUUCAGCCUCAAUUUCCAAGGGUGGUAUGGAAGAACAUCACACUACAUAAUAGAGUGCAUCUUAGAUAAAAAUUCCAUUUGUGGCUUGCAUUACAUGAGAGAUUAUCUACAGUUGAUAGACUUCAGAAGAUGGGGGUGCAAGUUCCUAUGAGCUGUGUUUUUUGUGAUCAAGAGGAAGAAAUAAUACACCACCUAUUCUUUAGAUGUCCUUACCAUAAGCAGAUCUGGACCAUAAUACUCAUAUGGAUGAGAGCAUACAGAGCAAUAGGUACAUGGCAUCAAGAGGUAGAAUGGAUAUGCAAGAUGGCAAAGAAGAAAGUUAUGAUCGCUGAGAUGCUAUGUAGUGUGUUUGCAAUGGUAGUAUACAACAUUUGGAAAGAUAGAAACAUGAUGAGGUUACAGAAUGGCAGAAGUGAUACAACUAAAAUAUGUCAUGAAAUAGCUAUGUACCUACACAUUCAGGGAAGAAACAAAACUUCUUGGCGGGAAAAGCUGCAAUUGCUGAAUUAUUUUCCUUAGGAGAAGUAGAAUUGAUACUUAUUGUAAAUGGAUUAUGGCUAUGUUAGUGUAUAGAUAACAUGAAUAGGCCAUAGAAAGACAAAUGAGGUGGUAGAUGAUCAGCUUCUAACCGACUAUGUAACGACUCACUUUUUUAUUAAUGAAAAUACCUGUUAAUCAAAAAAAAAUAUGAUAUUUAAGCAUGAUGCACAAA